CCUACGGGCGGCAGCAGUGAGGAAUAUUGGUCAAUGGGCGGAAGCCUGAACCAGCCAAGUAGCGUGCAGGAUGACGGCCCUACGGGUUGUAAACUGCUUUUAUACGGGAAUAACGCGCCUUACGUGUAGGGCUUUGCAUGUACCGUAUGAAUAAGGACCGGCUAAUUCCGUGCCAGCAGCCGAGGUAAUACGGAAGGUCCGGGCGUUCACCGGAUGUAUUGGGUUGAAAUGGAGCGUAGGCCGCAUGUCAAGCGUGCUGUGAAAUGUCCGGGAUAAACCCGGGCCUUGCAGCGCGAACUGGCGUGCUUGAGUCCGCGGAAGGCAGGCGGAAUUCGUCGUGUAGCGGUGAAAUGCUUAGAUAUGACGAAGAACCCCGAUUGCGAAGGCAGCUUGCUGCAGCGGAACUGACGCUGAUGCUCGAAAGCGCGGGUAUCGAACAGGAUUAGAUACCCCAGUAGUC
rnacentral:rRNA from 1 species